AUCAUCUGGGGAUUUUGUUGAAUGCUGAUUCUGAUUCCUAGGUCUCGAGUGGAGCCCAAGAUUCUGCAUUUCUAACAAGCUAUCAGGUGGUGUCCCU
rnacentral:pre_miRNA from 1 species